rnacentral:sRNA from 1 species
UAAACAAACAGGUGUUAACUACUAGCAUCGAAAAUAAACACACAAAAUAGUAACUGUGUUUUCAUGUUUUUGAGUUAUCUACAUAUACAUUUUUGCAGCCACUAUAUGAAAUAAAUCUUCAAGUUGAGACUUAUUUACAGUGGUUGUCACUGGCAUUUAAUAAUUAUUUUUGAUAAUUAGAAAGUAAAUUUUCGAAUUAAAUAUUUGACAUUUAACUAUCUUCUCAAAAUCUCUCUACAAUAACUACACGAUUAGUUACUAAAAUAAAACUUCUAAAAUAUUUAACAUCAUUUAAAAAUUACAAAAUUAUCAUUUUUGAUAUUGCUUUUUUUGCAUGACUAUAACAAUUCCAUUAUACGCAUCAACCCACAUAGAUAUUUUAUAGCAGUUAAUUAUUACAAAAUUACAAAAUAUUUAGACAAUGAUUUAUAAACAUAUCAUAAAUAAGAUCAACAUUAAUAAAAUAAAUAGUUUUUUUUACUUAAUAACAAUUGUAAACUAUAAAAUAAAAAUAUUUUAUAGAUAGAUACAAUUUGUAAACUUUUAUAUAUACUAACUUAAAAAAAAAAAAAUUGUCCUUGCGGUAUACCGCGGGUUAAAAAUCUAGUAAUGUCACAUAAUUGCAACAAAUUCCCUCAUUUCUUUCAUAAAUUUCU